AGCAGCGUGGCUUAAUGGAAAGGACAUGGCCUUGGGAGUCGGAGGUCAUGGGUUCUAAUCCCAGCUCUGCCA
rnacentral:tRNA from 1 species